CAUUACUGAGUGAGGGCCCCCGGCCCGACCUCCAACCCUUUGUAAGCCGACCCUGUUGCCUCGGGGGACUCCGGCGUCUUCGGGCGCCGGGCCCCCGGUGGACCCCCCAACUCUGCGUCUUUGCGUCUGAGUCUUGAAUGAUAAAUCAAUUAAAACUUUCAACAACGGAUCUCUUGGUUCUGGCAUCGAUGAAGAACGCAGCGAAAUGCGAUAGGUAAUGUGAAUUGCAGAAUUCAGUGAAUCAUCGAAUCUUUGAACGCACAUUGCGCCCCUUGGUAUUCCGGGGGGCAUGCCUGUUCGAGCGUCAUUACACCCCUCAAGCCUCGCUUGGUGUUGGGCGUCGCGGAGAUCCGCGUGCCCCAAAGUGCCUCGUGCCCGGCGGGUCGUCCGUCCCCGAGCGUUGUGACAUCUCAGUUCGCUCCGGUGGAUGCGGCGGCCGCGCCGUUAAACCCCCCUUUCAGGUUGACCUCGGAUCAGGUAGGGAUACCCGCUGAACUUAAGCAUAUCAAUAAGCGGAGGAAAAGAAACCAACAGGGAUUGCCCUAGUAACGGCGAGUGAAGCGGCAACAGCUCAAAUUUGAAAUCUGGCGCAAGCCCGAGUUGUAAUUUGUAGAGGAUGCUUCGGGGCAGCGGCCGGUCUAAGUCCCUUGGAACAGGGCGUCAUAGAGGGUGAGAAUCCCGUAUGCGACCGGCUGGCACCCCACACGUAGCUCCUUCGACGAGUCGAGUUGUUUGGGAAUGCAGCUCUAAAUGGGAGGUAAAUUUCUUCUAAAGCUAAAUACCGGCCAGAGACCGAUAGCGCACAAGUAGAGUGAUCGAAAGAUGAAAAGCACUUUGGAAAGAGAGUUAAACAGCACGUGAAAUUGUUGAAAGGGAAGCGCAUGCUACCAGACUUGCCGGCGGCGUUCACCCGGUCUUCUGACCGGGCCACUCGCCGUCGGCAGGCCAGCAUCACUUGGGGCUGCCGCAGAAAGGCGGAGGGA
rnacentral:rRNA from 1 species